rnacentral:rRNA from 1 species
UGCAAGUCGAGCGAACAGAUAAGGAGCUUGCUCCUUUGACGUUAGCGGCGGACGGGUGAGUAACACGUGGGUAACCUACCUAUAAGACUGGAAUAACUCCGGGAAACCGGGGCUAAUGCCGGAUAAUAUUUAGAACCGCAUGGUUCUAAAGUGAAAGAUGGUUUUGCUAUCACUUAUAGAUGGACCCGCGCCGUAUUAGCUAGUUGGUGGGGUAAUGGCUUACCAAGGCAACGAUACGUAGCCGACCUGAGAGGGUGAUCGGCCACACUGGAACUGAGACACGGUCCAGACUCCUACGGGAGGCAGCAGUAGGGAAUCUUCCGCAAUGGGCGAAAGCCUGACGGAGCAACGCCGCGUGAGUGAUGAAGGUCUUCGGAUCGUAAAACUCUGUUAUUAGGGAAGAACAAAUGUGUAAGUAACUGUGCACGUCUUGACGGUACCUAAUCAGAAAGCCACGGCUAACUACGUGCCAGCAGCCGCGGUAAUACGUAGGUGGCAAGCGUUAUCCGGAAUUAUUGGGCGUAAAGCGCGCGUAGGCGGUUUCUUAAGUCUGAUGUGAAAGCCCACGGCUCAACCGUGGAGGGUCAUUGGAAACUGGGAAACUUGAGUGCAGAAGAGGAAAGUGGAAUUCCAUGUGUAGCGGUGAAAUGCGCAGAGAUAUGGAGGAACACCAGUGGCGAAGGCGACUUUCUGGUCUGUAACUGACGCUGAUGUGCGAAAGCGUGGGGGAUCAAACAGGAUUAGAUACCCCUG